GGUCAUUUCGACGCACCAUAGUUGGUAAAUAGGGCCAGUGGAUAACCUUAUUUAGCAAAGGUUCCUGUGGCUUGACCAGCUUUUUUUUUAAUGGCGAAUAUGAUCGAGAUAUGGUGGCAGCCCCAUUUGGAGAGAAGGGGGCCCUCCACCUAACAGAAGAUAAAGCUCGCCCAUCGAUCAGCUAAUGGCUCUGAUGGCUGACUGCUCAUCGACACCAUUAAGGCAUUAGCAAGGAGCGAGCACGAGCAGCUAGCAGUAGCAAAAAUGGAAGCCGCAUAGCACCUGCACCGGCGCAAUAUUUUUUUCUCCGGGCCAUCGGCAAUAAUUGGGCAUAUCUUGAAGCUUACAUCACCGAUAUCUUUUGCUUACGACGAGGCCGAGGCCGAGGCCAGGUCCAGGGAUGCAGCAGUGCAGAUGAGCCCGAACCCGAGCCCCACCCAGCUCUUCCUCCCCUAGCAGCCAGCUAUCGCUAGCUUCGCACAGCCACCAAUAAGCCCCCCCUCCCCCGCGGCGGCAUCUCUCUCCAGCUCGCUCGCUCGCUCGUGAUUCACCCGCAGGAGCCACCCAGGCACGAGGGCCUAUCUCUUCCCCUCGAUCGGCAGACAGACGACGGAAGUGGCCGCGACCCGGGUGCCGGCCUUGUCUUUCGGCUUUCGCGCGCGGCGUGGACGAUGUGUGACCUUGACAUGGCGAUGCGGGUGGAGAACAACGGGCGCCCCCGUCAAGGUACGCCCGUGUGUCCCCCACUCCUUCCUCAUCUUCCCGCUUCCAGUUUUCGCCUUUUGCUCGCUUCUGCUGCUGCUACGGCUCUAUCUGCUGUGCAUGAGCAUCUGCCUGUGUCGUCCCGUCCCUUCAGAUCGCACAGUUUGCGUUCAUGAUUGUGCGCCGCUGGGCGCUAGCCAUGGGGGGGCUCCUUUGACCGCGGCCUUUCGGCGUGGAGGAAUCGCGCUCGCGGCUCGUGCACGUCGGUCCCUUCCCUUCAUGUCUGUCUCGGCGCGCGACCUGUCGAGGGCGCUGUUCCUUCGCAAUGGUCGCGCCCAUGCCGGCCGAUCGACUGGGUUUCGUCACAUUACACUAUUGGCGACCUACAGACUACAGCGACUGCGCUCGGGCCCUCGAUGAACAACAGUUCGCCGACCGGAUAGCUGCUGUGAGCCUAGCCUGUUCCUAGCUUUGGGUCGCGUCGUCGUUACCCGUCCGUCACCAGUGAAGUAAAGCCUGCGGUUAGUGAGAUAUGGGGGGGUAGACAAGCAACGUGCGGGCUGCUGUGGGUGAAUGCAUGGCAAGUUCAGCCAGCAGCCGAGCAUAGAGCUUGACCGAGAGAAACAAGCCAGCAGCUUGUAAACAGGCGUGGAGCCAGUCAAACAGGACGCCACCAGCUACCUCGGACUCUCGGAGGACCCAAUGCCAGUGUUAGCACGGCACGACUACAACACAUGGAUUGGAUGGAUCGUCUUUUUUUCACACUGCCGGGGGCUGCCUUGACGGCCAUGCAUGCCACAGCUGCUCACGGUCUGCUAUUCAUUCAUGCAUGCUGUAAUGUCCCCACAGACAUUAGCACCUCCUCACCUCCAUUUGCUAAGAGUUAAUAAACCUAUUAGCAGGCGUGUUUCAGGACCUCAUCUGCUAAUUUUAGCUAUAAGGGCCUCUCUAGAGCAUCUAUAGAUAAUUGUUAGCUACAAUUAAUUGUAAGUGUUUCAAGCUGGCCAGCUAAAAUCUUAACUUAUUGUCAGCUAGACCCCAAUUAACAAUUAGGAUAUGUUUGGUUGCAAUGAUAGAACAGGAUAGGAUGGAACUAUCCCUCAAAUAAGGUUGUUUGGUUUAGAAUUAGGGAUUGGAAUAGUAUUAUCCCUCAAAAUUUGAGGGACAAAAGAGGACGUCUCUAUCCUGGUUGUCCCUAGUUGUUCCGCAACCAAACGCAUCCUUAGUGACCGGGUUAGAACAACUAAAAGCAACUAAGCAUGGCCAAAGACAUUAUUGUCCCUUAUCCAUUCAAAACUACACUUAGGUAGUGUUUGGUUCCGGAGCGAGUUGGGAUAGAGCGACUCUAUACCAGAGAGCGGCUCCGUCAAAGAGAUUUUGAGUAGCCGCAUGAUUCAAUAUUUAAGCAUACUUUAUAUUUUUUUAAAUCACUCUAUCCUAUAUAAUCUAUCCUACAUGAAACUAAUCUAAACAAAAACAAAUUAGAGACGAAGUGGUUCCCUCCUACAAUAAUCUGAAACUAAACACUAUCCUAGUGUCCACUCGAUGCCCGCCCAAAGCUAUCGCUCCUAUUAUUGAGUUUCUAUUUUUCUCUAACUUAACUAAAACAUGCGAGGGUGACCUCUAAGGUUUCUAUUUUUUUUUCCUAAUUUAGUUCGAUAUGUAUCAUUGUUUGUGAAUUUUAUAUAGAUCUAUAUUUUUUAUGAAUUCGUGUUAGUUGUGACAUGUUUGGAGUGUUAAACUUUUCUUUAAAAAAGACAACAACGAAAAAGGGCUCGUAGGUUCAAUCAAUUAUCAAUCUAUAGUUAAAGGUUCUAAACAGAUCAACUAAUAGUUAGUCAGUUAAAUAGCUAAUAAUUAGUUGGCCUAUUGCAACUAAUAAUCUACUCCCUCUAUUUCUUUUUAGUUGUCGCUGGAUAAUUUAAUUUUGCACUAUCCAGCGACAACUAAAACGAAACGAAGGGAGUAUCAGAUUGCUAGCUAUUGGCUUUAGGGUUCCAGACAGACCCUUAGUCUAAGGCCUUUCGUUUCUACCGGAUUGGUGGGUCAGAACGAUUCCUAACCGGAUUGCUUCUCUAAUUUAUAUAAACUUUAAUUAGGUGGAACGAUUCCGGGUGCAAUCCGACGGAAACGAACAAAGCCUAAGGGAUCUAAACAGCCUUUUUUUUGUGUUAGCACAUCAUUAUCGAGCACAGCGCGGUUCAUCAAACUCUUGUUUGAAAUCUUGUUUCCCCACCCAGUUUCUACAGCAUUUUUUUGUAAUGACUACUGUAUAUGCAGCAACUUUAAUUUGUGAGCCUUCUUAUUAGAUUCUGUAUUCGCAAAAGACAACACACAACAGCAAGAUCCAAAACGCACCAGCCAAAACAGUAACCAGACCUGGCACCGACGCGUGCAAGCUGCCGACAAUAGAAAAAAAAAAGAGAGACAGCCAUUGCGGAUUUGGCACUUGCGUCGCGCGGAACAGUAACGUGCCCAUCUGUGAUAUCCAAGAGGCGUUGGAUACGUGGUGGAUCUUUCCGCCUCGGGCCGCCGCGCGAUGGGGGCCCGUCCAUGGCGGCAAGCGCAGCAAGGCCGUGACAUCGUGGGGUGGGGGUCGGGCUGGAGAGGAGGGAGGGGGGAUCGUGCAUUCGUGCUCGUGCGUGGUGCGUCACGCUGUGCCGUACAGUAGCAACCAAACCAGUGCCACGCGCGGCGGGCCCACGGACGGCACCAUGGGCAGGGCCGCAGGGGUGCAGUACAGCUACUGUACAGCAGUACUACACUGUACACACACACAGCCCCGCCGUCGUGCAGGUGAGGUCACCCCGCCCUUUGUGGGACACGUUUCGACCUCCGAGCGGCUUUUGGCAAGGGGUAGAGGAGGGCCCACGCGCCGUGCCGGAUGGUACGUCGGCGACGACUGUCCUUGUCCCGCGCUUAGGUUCACGUGUCAUUUGACGCGGUCCGGUCCGCACUCCGUAGGCUGGCCGAGCCAUGACAGUAGGGAACUAGGAUGUAAAUAUUACGAAUAUUAUCUGUAUGUAUUUAAAUUUGAUUUUUCUAAGAGGUCGAUUUGUCGAAGUGGACUGAUAUUUGAUACUUAUUGGAGUCUAAAUACUCAGUAUCUAGUGCAUAUCCGAUUUAUAUAUGUAUUUGUAUACUCAAAAUUGAUAUUUAAUCUUAUCUAACACAAUUCCACAUCCAAUAUAACAUAAAGUGAAAAAUAAAAAAAACAAAUACGGUAUAAUUAAUAUCUGUUCGAACUAAUUACAUCCCUAACCACGUGCCAUCGGCUCAAGCGAACAGUCACGUCGCGCGCCAGGUCCGCCCGCUUGCACCGUAGUGUCAGCAAAGCACAUCUUGCGGUUGACCGGGAAUCCUGCACACCGGCUUUAAUUCCCACACAAAAAUUUCAUCCGUUCAAAAAAAAAAAUUAAUACUGUACUUUAAAGUAGGAGUUUGCUAUUGCGUCACCCUCUCUUCGUGGCACGAUCGAACGAAUUCUCUCAAAGAGGAGAGUGCUCUAAGGUGGGGUUCGAAACCUGGUAUUAAAAAGACUGAAAGAGUCUUCCAUCCCACCACAUGUUCACUUGAGUUAUAAAAUAAUUGAUUUUGUUAAUUAAAUUGCAACAAUACAUGGGCACUUGGCUAGUAUAGUUCUAAUGGUGGGAGAACGAUAAGAGGAAAUUUUGUCUUCUUAUGAAUAAUUUAAUGUGUUCUAAAUACUUUUAAUCUCUGGAAUUAAAUAUGUUAGAGACUAAACUUUAGACGCUAGACUAAAUAUGGUAGUCUUAUAAAGACAAACUCUUGUAUAGUUUUUAAAUUAAGUUAUUAGAGUUCCCUUAAGAAACACCAUAUUAAAUAUACCAAAUAAAAAUGUUUGUCGGCGUGUCAGGAACACAAAAGUGGAUCUAGUACCGUUUUCAUACAAAUGUUUGAGACGAAAUGGCCGGUCACAAAGCUCUGACCACCGAGCGCUGAGUCACGGUCGCGAAUAUAGUAGCGGGCUAGCGGCCGCCCGCUUAACCUCUAUAUUGAGUAGAAAUUCCAUUGUGGCAACGACAGCUAUGCAAGAAGUCAUUCUGCGCAAACGUGUAAGUAAAUCAUCUGAUUCAUUAGAUCGUGAUCGAACAAUAGGUCACAUUUAACACUUAAACUCUUCCACCACUAACUUAAUAAUCUUUAUAAAAAAACCUCUAACAAUCUAUGGUUGUAUCUGUGGUUGGAUCGUAAUCUAAUUAAUUAGAUGAUUUGCUUGUACGCUUGUACAGAAGGACUGCUUGGAUAAUAGUUGUUGUCAUUGUGUUUUGCUGCGACAACAGCAGUCCUGCCUGAUACGUCCGUUAGCUCUAUAAAUAGGACAUGGAUAUGAGUAUAUCUGCUGUGUAACUAUGGUCACCAAAACUGUCUUUAUUUCAUUAUUUACGGAUUUUGUUUUUCGUUAAUGCUAAAGGCAAGGUGCUACUGCAGGGACAGCUAGUGGCGUUCGGUGUUACGUAGACAUAUCGUCAAGUCAACACUGAAUUUAUUGCUUUGCAACAAAGAUCGUGGUGACAACCCGUUAACAGUUAUAGGACCGGACUACACAUAUCUUUUUUUGCACCGGACCACGGGUGCCCCCAGCAAAUCUUUUUGACUGUGC
rnacentral:lncRNA from 1 species